GAUGAAGAACGCAGCGAAAUGCGAUACGUAGUGUGAAUUGCAGAAUUCAGUGAAUCAUCGAAUCUUUGAACGCACAUUGCGUCCUUUGGUAUUCCAAAGGGCAUGCCUGUUCGAGCGUCAUUUGUACCCUCAAGCUUUGCUUGGUGUUGGGCGUCUUUUGUCUCCAGUUCGCUGGAGACUCGCCUUAAAGUCAUUGGCAGCCGGCCUACUGGUUUCGGAGCGCAGCACAAGUCGCGCUCUUAGCCAGCCAAGGUCAGCGUCCAGCAAGCCUUUUUUCAACCUUUGACCUCGGAUCAGGUAGGGAUACCCGCUGAACUUAAGCAUAUCAAUAAGCGGAGGA
rnacentral:misc_RNA from 1 species